ACAACGUGGCACAGAACGGCACUGCAUCGGAGUAGGCACACUGCAAAGACGAGACGAGUCCUCCCCAGAGAGGGGAGGCGGUUAAGGAGAGGAGAUUGCGUGGCUCGGAGCAGCCAGACCCGAUGGUGUGCUUCUCACCUCAGCGUGAUAGCCUGACCUUGACUCCUGAGUUCCACGAUCGCUUCACAACUGCAAGUCACCAUCAUACAAAAUUUGAGUUUCCCUAAGUCCGCGCCUUUGAGAGCUUUGGAACGAUAUGCAAGUUCAAGUCACCAUCCUGUUUCUUGCUACCUCCUGUGAGAAGACCAACAUUUGGGUUACACUUGUUUCUACUCUUGUUCUUCUGCUUGUUAUUGUUGCCUCUGCAGCCAUUGAUCACACACGUGUUGUCAUACAAAAACUGGGGAGAAGAGGUUGACAUUAGGCCAUGUCAUUCAAACCCGUUCUGCAAACAGGAAAACAGGAAGUAGAAACGCCGCACACAGAUAGUUAAACCUUGGGAUUCAGACUCUGAUGGCUCUGAUGAUAUGGUGAUUUGUGUGCUGGGGAUGAAAGAGGAGCAGAAGACUGAGCUUACAUCUCUUCAGACGAAAUGCAAUUUUCUCUAUUCUUUCCCUGUUACUAUUGUUACGACCAAGCAUUUUCAUUGAUCCAUUAUCAUCUUCAUCUUGAGAUCACAAAGGAAGUUAAUUGCCUGAUAUCCACUCUUGUUAAUAUAAAAUAUCAAUGAUAUUUAUUUUAUUGUUUUAGUUUGGUGAACAAACUGAUUGUCUAGGCUUUCAUAAUACUCAUGUCCUUGCCUCAUUUUUUCCUAAAAAGUCUUAAAUUCCUCCAACAUGGGUACUCUGAGAGUUUCGGGAACUCAACUAUAGCAUUUAAGGAGUGGGCUGCUACUGUACUUGGCUGGAUAAUUUGAUUUUGUACUCCUGAAAUUUGUUUUAAUUCUGAUUAAGCCUAACUUGCGAUCUCACCAGAAAGGAUUAGUUUGGUAUAAGUUAAAUUAAUUUCUUUUCCAGCAAUUGUAUAUGUUAGCUAUUGGCUGAUCCUGAAAAGCAGUAUAUUUAUGUUAAAUUUCCAGAUUUCCUUUGGUAGCUAAUCAAGGAGGAACAGCUGCUAGAGUUCAUUUUCAUAGAUUCUUUCUGUUCUCAUAUCUGGCCUCCUCAGUGAUUUGAAGAAUUGAAUAUCCUCCAAAAAAUGGAUAUUAUUACCUCCUGUUCUCUGAUGGUGAUGGAGACUUCAUUCUCAGAUUGUUUUUAAAUUCCUUUCAUAAUUCCAUAUAUUUACUUCAUUUGAUUCAAUUGUGUUACAAAAGUUAUUGUCAUGGUUGUUUUAAUUUUGGAUGUUUGGAAUUUUCCAGGCAGAUUUAACAGAGGAAAAAAAACCACAAAGCCAGAGAUACGACGCUGUUAUCUUGUUCUAAGAAUUUUGGGCAAAGGCAUAGGCUGAACCUGCCUGUUCUUUUGGCUGCUUUACACAUUCCCAACUGAUGUCCAUUUUGAACUCAGUUGGACAGUUAUUCUGGGGAAUAGAGAGGAAGUCCAAAUAACAUCGCUGUUGUUUCUGUCUUAAUUGCUGUUUGUGCCGGAUUCACAGCACUGGCCUCAUCAUUAUAUCUGAUAAUGAUGCACAGAAAACCUGAAUAGAGAAAAGAAGAAAGAUAAUUCAUUGGCAUGUGCUUGCCAAAAAGAGACUUUAUAUAACUUGAGAAAGCAUAAAGACAACCUGGAAUGAGGAAAUGUAUGUACAGUAAUGAAAAAAAAAUGCUUUAAACAGCUGUGUCAAAAACUGACAUCAGAGAGUAAAUUGAAUUUGGUUUUGUAGGAAGCAGGAAGCAAGCCCACUCAAACGUUGAAAUUUGGCAUGAGGGAGUCCAGUAACUUUCUCCUCAAUCUGUGAACUAUAUGUGAGUUUGAUAUUUUGAAGGAAAAGGAAAAAAAAAAGUUUAAAAGGGCUUCUGCACAGCAAAUGAAACUAGCAUCAGAAUGAACAGGCAACCAAAAGAAUGGGAGAAAAAUUUUGCAAUCUACCCAUCUGACAAAGGUCUAAUAUCCAGAAUCUGCAAGGAACUUCAACAAAUUUACAAGAAAAAACAACCCCAUCAAAAAGUGGGCAAAUGAUAUGAACAGACACUUCUCAAAAGAAGACACUUACGCAGCCAACAAACAUGAAAAAAAGCUCAUCAUCACUGAUCAUUAGAGAAAUGCCAAUCAAAACCACAAUGAGAGCCAGACUGGGAUCCGGUGCGGAGAGCCCCUCAUCCUGGAAAAUUGGCCUCGGCCAGAAAGGCAGCCACCCCCUCGCCCAUCAUGCAUAACACGUUCGUGAAGAACCUGGCGCUAAACCAUUCCUAGGCAACCUGUUUCUGGGUCAGGGUUUCGUGAGUAGCAGAGCAGAUUCCUCGUUGCCAUCUAUUGAAAGUGAGCCCUCCACACAAGGGUUUGUCUGCCUGCGUGCUCAGGGGGCCGUUGGACCCGCGCGUCCGGCGCUGUCCCUCUUCCUUCCUUCCUCCCGCCACCCGCCGGGGUCCUCGUUACCCAAGCCCGCGCGUGACCACCCACUCCGGGGGUGUCGCGCGCUGGCCUGUCCGCAUCCGCCGCGCGUUAGGCCAGUCAGGAUGGCGAUUAUUAAAAAGUCAGGAAAGGAUAGAUGCCGGAGAGGAUGUGGAGAAUAGGAACGUUUUUACACUGUCGGUGGGAGUGUAAAUUAGUUUAACCACUGUGGAAGACAGUGUGGCGAUUCCUCAAGGAUCUAGAACCAGAAAUACCAUUUGACCCAGCAAUCCCAUUACUAGGUAUAUACCCAAAAGAUUAUAGAUUAUUCUAUUAUAAAGACAUGCACACAUAUGUUUGUUGCAGCACUAUUUACAAUAGCAAAGACUUGGAACCAACCCGAAUGCCCAUCAAUGAUAGACUGGAUAAAGAAAAUGUGGCACAUAUACAACAUGGAAUAUACUGCAGCCAUAAAAAUGAAUUGAGAUCAUGCCCUUUGUGGGUACAUGGAUGAAGCUGGAAGCCAUCAUUCUCAGCAAACUAACACAGGAACAGAGAACCAAACACCACAUGUUCUUACUCAUAAGUGGGAGUUGAACAAUGAGGACACAUGGACACUGGGAGGGGAACAACACACACAGGGGCCUGUUGGGGGGUGGGGGGCAAGGGGAGGGAGAGCAUUAGGACAAAUACCUAAUGCAUACGGGGCUUAAAACCUAGAUGAAGGGUUGAUGGGUGCAGCGAACCACCAUGGCACAUGUAUACCUAUGUAACAAACCUGCACGUUCUGCACAUGUAUCUUGGAACUUAAUAAUAAUUUUAAAAAGGGCUUGCUUGCAUGGUUAUGGUUGAGACUACAGAUAUUCUUCAACACGCUCAAAUGAGGAAGAUGAGGGUUGAAAACCCAUUGUAGGAUGCUGUGGAUCUAGGAUUCGCCACAGUUCCAGGAGAGCUUACGCUCUUGAUCUAAACCACAGUUGUUCUCAACACUGACUGUGUAUCAGAGUAAUGAUAGAAAGCGUUGAAAAAUAUAGAUUUCCAGGAACUGCACAAAGACCUGCUGAAUCAGGGAUAGGGCCAGAAUCUGUAUAUUUCAAAAUUUCCUUCAGCGUUUCUUUAUAUAGCCAUGGUUUUCAAACUGCCGCUCUAAAGCUAGGGAAAAUUAUGAUAGAAAAUAUAAAUGGUAGUGGGCCCAGGAACUAGGAAACCUUGAUUCAAAGUGUUUGUUCUGCCACUAGUUCAAUGAAUGGUCUUAUUCAAGUCACUCCUGCCUUUGUCUUUCAAAUGAGAGAAUAAGACCACUUGGUGUCUAAAGUCUUUCUAUCUCUGACAUUACCUUGAGAGAAAGGUGCAUCAACCACAAUGGUUGAUUUUGAGAAUAUCUAAACUUUUUCAUAGAGACCAAAGUAAAUAGGAUUAUUAUUGCAUUGUGUAAUUGUGCUCAUGGUUCAAGUUUUACCAUGUUUUAGUCCCUCCCAGAAAAGGAAGUAGGGCAUAAUGCCAUAGAAACAAGGCAAAUAUAAACACCAACUCUCUGAAAGGAAAGAGAGGCAGUACCUACUGGGAGUUUCUUUUUCUAUGAUAAUUGUUUUUAUUUCCCCUCUGGGUUAUAGGUUUUGGGAAAAAUAAUGCACAGAUAUUGUGUGUAAAAUGCUAAUAUUUUGUAUCUAUUGUUUCCAUAAACCAAAACAGAGAACCCUGUAUGGUGAAUGCUUUAAGUUUUCAUAGGUCAUUUGCUUCUUCUUAGUCACAUCUACAGGUAAAUAUUUUUAAAUCAAUGAUCUUUUCCUCAGUAUAAUCAGUGGUUCUAUAUGACUUUAAAGAAUGAGCUGUUUUGGCUGGGCGUGGUGGCUCACGCCUGUAAUCCCAGCACUUUGGGAGGCCGAGGCGGGCAGAUCACGAGGUCAAGAGAUCGAGACCAUCCUGGCCAACAUGGUGAAACCCCAUCUCUACUAAAAAUAUAAAAAUUAGCUGGGCGUGGUGGUGCAUGCCUGUAACUCCAGCUACUGGUAAGUCUGAGGCAGGAGAAUCACUUAAACCUGGGAGGCGGAGGUUGCAGUGAGCCAAGAUCGCACCACUGCACUCCAGCCUGGCAACAGGAUGAGACUCUGUCUAAACAAACAAACAAAGAAAAAAAAAAAAAAAAAGAACUGUUUUGAUAAUUUUACCAUUUACUGAGAUUACUACCUUGGCCAUUUUUUUAUUUAUUUUGACCAGAAUUAGAGAAAUAAAAGGUUAAAUUGAAUUGCAUCAACUAGGAACUCUUAAUAUAAAUAAUAAAAUGAGAAAUUGACUAUUAUAUGAUCUUAGUUGUCAUAGAAAUACUUUGACUUUGGCUUGAUGUAUGGAAACAUUUAUCUAGGGCCCAGGUCAUUUGAAAUAAAAUAUUGAGAUAAAUCUAAUUAUUGUUUAAGACAAUAUCCAGUUAAAACAACCUAAGAAGUAUCACUGAUGAGAGUCAAAGAACAUUUUACUGUGGUUGAGUUGAACAGGUCAGCAAAACUUGUAGGAGGAUGAGAAAGUUUGAUAUACGCUAAAGGUAGAAAUAGAAGUUAAUGACAACACUGCCAUGUAAAUGGGUGUUUUUUUCUUCUUUAAGAAAAGCCCCCCAAAUAUCAAAGCUGAGGUUUCUUUUAGUAUGUUUUAUGCACAGUUUGAGUGGAGAGAACCUGUUGUCAAAUGGCUUGGGUAAAUUCUUGAGCUCAGUAUUACAAAGUGCAUGGAAAUUUCGUUCUUUAUAGACAUGUUUAACCACUGUGGCAAAAAGAAAAAAAAGGAGGGGUGGGGAGAAAGGGCAGCCCAGGCUGAUGAGAUGUGAAGAAUAUGUUAGGAAACUUGUAUUACAUUUAAAAAGAACUUUUUGUUUAAAAUCUUUUAAGUUCAAAAUGCAGAGAAAGCUCUUUAAAUUACACAUUUGGAUUACAUAGCUUCUACCACCCGAAUGCUAAUAAAGGGUUUUGACAGUAUAUAUAGUCUAAAAGCUUGCGUGAACAAGGUUUAUGAUGUGAAAUGCAUUGAUUACUGAACUUUACAUAGUAUUAUUACCUUUUAAUGGCCUUUGAUGUCAGUGUGUUAUGGUUGCUUAAGAAUUCAGAAAUAUGAUGUACUAUGAACAGAGUGUAUAUAUUACUGGGAAGUAUAAAAUCAAAUAGAAAAUAGAUGAAAGAAUUAGUAUCAUUAGCAUAAAUAACAAAUAUUGAGAAAUUAAGUAUGAAUCUAUUGUGUUUGAGACACUGCAUUUCAUCUUUCUUGCAUUGCUACGUAAAGCCAAAGAUAUAAUUAACUCAUCUUUGCAAACACCUAGAAUUGGUUCUUGACUACUUGGCAGUGGUAUGGUGAGUGUCACAAUGAUAAGAAAAUGGGACUUAAAGUGAGAUCUUUGCCACUGACUUCUUGUCUGCUCUGGGCUGGGGGCACCCUCUUUUUGGGUGAGUGGUGCUUAGUCCUGGCAGUACAACCCCUGGGUUAUUGGGUUGUGGAGAAUCAGCACGGAGGCAAGGUUUUGUAAUCACACGGAUCUGCUUUCAAAUCCUGCCUCUACCAAUUACCAGCUGUGUGACUGUGGGCAUAUUUCUUAACCAUUCCAGACUUCAGUUUCUGAUCUGUAAAAUGCAGUCAAAAUACCUGCAUUAUAGGAUUGCUAUAAGAUUAUAUGAAAUGCUUAGUACAGUGCCUGGCACAUAGUAAGCGCUCAAUAAAUUGUUGUGAUUAUUAUUAUUAUUAUAACAUGAAUAAGCAUUAUGCAACCAGAAUAUGAGAGUUUGCGCCUAUCUUUGCAAAAUUUUCACACUUUGAUACUUAAUUUCCCUCAAAUUAAGGUAUGCAUGAUGGUUUUAAGAUGAGAGAAGGAAGUUUAAAAAUGAGUUUUAGUAUUUCUUUUUGUUUGCUGAUGAGGGAUACAUGAAACAAUAAUUUCCUUGUCUGUAAGUUACUCCCUGAUCUGCAGUGAUUCUUUAUGCUAUAAUGUGGUUAUCAUUACUGACAUUUAUUUGUGUAGUGACUAGAGGUAAUCUCAGUUUUGGACAUGGAUGAGUUCUUAUUCUCUAGAAAAUAAUCCAUCCACUUGUUUCCACUUUAAAGAAAAUUAGGUAACUGUGAUAUAGGGGUAAAGAUAAAGCUAAAUAGGGCCUGCUUUGCUUGACCACCAAAAUAUUAGCUCAGCUGCCUUUUGAGAGAAUUUGUGUAAGUCUACGUAAUCUUACUAGGCAAGGAAAAUUCCUCACAGCUGGCUUCUGAACUUCUUUGAAUUUCAUGUAUUCUAUGAUGGCAUUCAAGAAGUUUAAAAUAGUGUUAUUCAGAAUCCUAAGUAUUCAUCAUAACUGAUGCUGUGUCUGCUGAGUGACAGAAACGUCACUGCCUUAAUUCUAGCCCCCACUACCACUUACCUGCAUAACUGUAUUAGCCUCACAUCCCAACCCUUUAAGUGUUUUAGCUUGGGGUAUUAGGUGUUCUACUGUACGUAUCUAGUAGUCUUUGCUAUUCAGCACCUUGCUGCUCAACUGGCUUUCCUUAUGUACGGUUCUGAUUCCAAUACCUCCUGGUUCAUAGACGUUUAAUAACCACCCAUUGUCUAUAUAUUCCACUACUUGAUCUUUAAAUCAUGCAUGGCCUAGUUCCAGUGUACUUUCCCAGUUUUGUAUGCCAGUGUUCUCUUUCAUGUAAUACAUGUGAUAGUUCCUGACUUCCUCAGCUUUAUCUAAGUACUAAGGGCCUUCAGCGCAUAGCUCAAGUCUAAUCCCUGAAGCUUGUCACUUAAGGUCUUUGUCACUUAAGAAAUUACAUGUAUUACCUGAAGCCAGGGUGCCUGAGAAGAGCCUACCAAGCUAUAAUCUUUUUCCUGUUCCCCUCCAUAUAUGUCCAGUCUGUAGGGGUGGGUUUCUUCUCUAAUUUACUUAAGCUUCCAGCCUAUUUAAUUAAAUUAGGACAUCCUCAUUGAUCCUCAGCCCUGUUGGUUGGGCCCCUGAAUGCAACCCAUUUAAUUUUGGCUCUGAAUACAAGGCUCCCUGUUUGGGCAAUUGUCCAAACAAUUGCCUAGAGAUCUAAAUUCUUAGGUUCUUGCCAGUUUCAUCUCCUAUCAUUACAGCACAUGAUAUUGUUAUUUACCAUUCGGCUUCAAUUUUCUCUGCUUGUUCUCUAUGUGAGAACAAGUUCUCUUGUUCUCUGCUUGUUCUCAUAUGUGAAUGCUAGCCUGGAAUGUACUUAACUUUACCAUAUCCUUGAUUUGGCGUUAGAGCAGGGCAUAGCAAACUAAGGCCCUUGGGCCAAUGCAGCCCAACCAUUUUUUUUAAGUAAAGUUUUAAUGCAGCACAGCCAUCCCCAUUCAUUUACUUACUGUCUGUGACUGCACUACAAUGGGAGAGUUGAGUAGUUGCAACAGAGACAAUGUAACCUGUAAAGCCUUAAAUAUUUACUUCUGAACCUUUACAGAAAAUGUUUGUUGAUCCCUGAUCUAAAGCCAAGCAGUUCUCUCGACCUAGAUACUGCUUAUUCUUUGAUAAUUUCCCAUUCCCAUCUUGUUAACCAAUAAGGCCAGUUCAUUGAGACUAUGAAGAUAGCUUCCAACCCAUUCAAACUAUUUGCUUUUUCUUGAAUUUCCCUGCCUUCUCUUUCUCACCUUCCUAGAAUGCUAUUUCCUUGUGUUUUGCUUUUUAGCAGAAGAGAUGAAAUAGUAUUAAAGACUGUAAGAGUAGUCUCAUGAUGUCUUUUAAUUUAAUAUCUAGGCCCUAAUACACAACUCUUUGAAUAUUGCUACUAUCUUUCAGCAUGACUUUCCAAUACCAUUAAGAUUAAGCCUUUCUGUUCUUCAGUUUCUCUAACUCAAGUCUUCUAAGCUCCACAGCUUCCAACAUCUUUAAUUACCAGAUCUUCCCAAUAUUAUAACAUCCGUGCAUUCCAGUCCCUGUCCUGCAGCAUCUCCAAUGCCCUUGUUUUCUAAACUUCCCAGUAUUCAAGUCAUUAAAAAUUUAGGUCUUCUAAUAUCUCCAACAACCCAUCUUCAAAGUCCAGGUCUUGUCUUUCAGAAUCCAGAGUUCUAAAUUACAAGUCUUCCAUGGUCCUAAUCCUCCAAUGUCUCCUAUAUACAGGUCUUCUAGAGGCUAUGUAUUUCAUAGUGUUUAAGUCUAGAUUCUUCAAUGUCUUCCAGCACUUACAUCAUUCAGUUUUUACAUUUUUAAAUGUCUCCUACUUUCUAGUUUUACAGUGUAUUUUUAUCGCCAAUUCCUCCAAUGCCCAAGUCUUUAAAUACCUGCAAGAACUUUCAGGUACAUCAAUAUCCUCAAUGUCUGAAUGAAUAGACCUCUUAAUAUCCUGGUCUCAUAUUGUCCAGGCUGCCAGUAUUCUUGACAUCCAGCAUCUUUAAAAUUUAAUUCUUCCAAACUGUCUUUUUGACAUAAAUAUGUCAAUAUCCAUGCUUACCAAUGUCUCCCAAUAUCCAGGGCUUCUCAUUUUAGGAUUUAUAAAUGUCUACAUCUGCUGUUGUUUAUAUCUGCCAGUAUUUAGGAGUUCCAAGGUACAGGACUUACAAUAUCUCUAAUUUCCAGAGAUUUCAGUGUCUAUGACUUCCAAUAUUCAAUAUCCCAAUGUUCAGGGCCUCCAGAAAUAUCAAUGUCCAGAGUAACCAAUGUCUUCAAAAUCCAAGGCUUGCAAUGUCUCCAAUAUCCUGUGCUUACAAUGUUUCCAAUGUCCAGGGUUUCCGAUGGCACCUGUGUCAAGGUCUUCCAACAACUCCGGGUCUUCCAGCGACUUCAAGUCUUCCAAUAAUCUCAAGGUC
rnacentral:lncRNA from 1 species